rnacentral:misc_RNA from 1 species
AUGCAACUGACAAUUUUCAUCUGUCUAGCAAGCUUGGGCAGGGUGGUUUUGGUUCAGUUUAUAAAGGAAAACUUCCAGAGGGACAAGAAAUUGCUGUGAAAAGGCUUUCACAGUCUUCUGGUCAGGGGCAAGAGGAGUUCAUGAAUGAGGUUGUGGUGAUUUCCAAACUUCAGCAUCGUAAUCUUGUUAGACUCCUCGGCUGCUGCAUAGAAAGAGGGGAGA